rnacentral:lncRNA from 1 species
AAAGCUGUUCUACCACCUAUCACACAUUACAAACUUCAGCUACUUAAGCCCACUGCAGAGUAGAAAAAAAUUGUAACCACCUUGGCAGAUUGUGGUGUAAGCACAAAAAGAGUUAUCAUUUGCAAAGAACGCUGAGCUGCCAACACCAUGCUGAGGGCAGUGGGACUUCCCAGAGUAGUAGAAUACAUGCAGCCUGGUGUAUAUUGAGUUUUUGAGCCUAUCACUCAGAUUCUAUUCUGGAAAUUUCCUCUCCUUGUUGACCCUGCCCCCAUUUGGUCACCCUCCCUGCCCUAGGACUGAGUACGAAGGAAAGGUUAUUCUACUAUUCUGUGCUGGGAGGCAGACAUCGUCAUACUUACCAAGGCUGCUUAUGAGAUCUUGGAGAUACAGAAUGGAAAUGACCCCACAGUCUCUGGGUAACACCCUGGAGACUGUAUUCAAGCUGCCUGUAGCAAUAUGAAGGCUUAUGAUCACUUCAUGUUCAUUUAAGGGAUGUAUACAUAGUUAAGGAAACCAUGAGCAAGAAAGGAGCCCUGGUAUUCCUUGAACAUGCAUACCUUUCCCAGCGUGAGGGACAUGGACCGUGCCGUGCGAGGGACCCCAUCUUCUGCAGCAGGAGGGAGCAGAGAAGAGAACACAGGUUCAGGGUACAUGUGCAGGUGCAUUACAUAAACUUGUCAUGAAGAUUUGUUGUACAGAUUAUUUCGUCACCCAGCCACCCUCAUCAGCCAGAGUUCAAACCCUGACAGUGCCCAUGGAGAGAUCUGGUCCAAGGCACCAACCUCUUCCUGCUGGACUGAGAAAGAGCCUCCUACUGUGUCUCUCUUUACCUCAGCUUUUGCACACCUCCAAUAUAUUGUCCACUGAAGUCAGAAUAAUCUAAAAAUAAAGGCUGAUUACCUCAUGUGGUA